UACGUAGGUGGCAAGCGUUGUCCGGAUUUACUGGGCGUAAAGAGCGCGCAGGCGGUCGUUCAAGUCGCGUGUGAAAGCCCCCGGCUCAACUGGGGAGGGUCACGCGAUACUGAUCGACUCGAAGGCAGGAGAGGGAAGUGGAGUUCCCGGUGUAGUGGUGAAAUGCGUAGAUAUCGGGAGGAACACCAGUGGCGAAGGCGGGUCUCUGGGCCGAAACUGACGCUGAGGAGCGAAAGCGUGGGGAGCAAACAGG
rnacentral:rRNA from 1 species